rnacentral:rRNA from 1 species
GAUGAACGCUGGCGGCGUGCUUAACACAUGCAAGUCGAACGAUGAAGCCCAGCUUGCUGGGUGCCUUAGUGGCGAACGGGUGAGUAACACGUGAGUAAUCUGCCCUUCAUUCUGGGAUAAGCAUGGGAAAGUGGCUCUUACACCGGAUAGAUGCGUCCUCCGUAUGGUGGGUGUUGGAAAGAUGUGUGGGUUUUGGAUGCUCUCGCGGCCUCUCCGCUUGUUGGUGAGGUAAGGUUUCACAAAGGCUAAGAGGGGUAGCCGGCCUGAGAGGGUGACCGGCCACACUGGGACUGGGACAGGGCCCGGACUCCUACGGGAGGCAGCGGUGGGAAAUAUUGCACAAUGGGCGAAAGCCUGAUGCAGCGACGCCGCGUGGGGGAUGACGGCCUUCGGGUUGUAAACCUCUUUCAGUAGGGAAGAAGCGAAAGUGACGGUACCUGCAGAAGAAGCACCGGCUAACUACGUG